CGUUAAAACACCGGUUCUCGUGGGAUUACCGAAGUUAAGUAACGUUGAGCCUUGGCAGUACCUUGAUUGAUGACCGCUUGGGAAUACCAGGUUCUGUAAG